rnacentral:rRNA from 1 species
AUUGAACGCUGGCGGCAGGCUUAACACAUGCAAGUCGAGCGGGGUGAUGGUGCUUGCACUAUCACUUAGCGGCGGACGGGUGAGUAAUGCUUAGGAAUCUGCCUAUUAGUGGGGGACAACAUCUCGAAAGGGAUGCUAAUACCGCAUACGUCCUACGGGAGAAAGCAGGGGAUCACUUGUGACCUUUCGCUAAUAGAUGAGUCUAAGUCGGAUUAGCUAGUUGGUGGGGUAAAGGCCUACCAAGGCGACGAUCUGUAGCGGGUCUGAGAGGAUGAUCCGCCACACUGGGACUGGGACACGGCCCAGACUCCUACGGGAGGCAGCAGUGGGGAAUAUUGGACAAUGGGGGGAACCCUGAUCCAGCCAUGCCGCGUGUGUGAAGAAGGCCUUAUGGUUGUAAAGCACUUUAAGCGAGGAGGAGGCUCUUUUGGUUAAUACCCAAGAUGAGUGGACGUUACUCGCAGAAUAAGCACCGGCUAACUCUGUGCCAGCCGCCGCAGUAA